AUGUUUGCAGCAGCAGCACAUAUACUGAAAUUGGAAUGAUACAGCACAGCCUUCGUGCAAGGAUGACACCCACACUUGUGAAGCAUUCCGUGUUUUU
ensembl:snRNA U6 U6 spliceosomal RNA